rnacentral:rRNA from 2 species
GUGAAACGCCGUAGCGCCGAUGGUAGUGUGGGGUCUCCCCAUGCGAGAGUAGGGAACUGCCAGGCAU